UACUUCAAGCACACUCGUUCUAGUUGUACGCUGCCCGCUCUGCUUGCAGUAUGGCUCAGAGACGCUGACGUUGUUUAAUUGAGUACCCUGACACACAAGGGUGGAGUUUGAGACGCACCACACAGUGCUUUCGCACGCAGGCAGCAACCAGGGUAACUUUCAAGGACUUCCUCUGGAUGGUGGCAGAUUGACAACCUCACAUCAGUGAACAUGAAUCUCAUAACUGAUUGGAAAAAUAAAUAAAGUUUUGCACACAA